AGGGAAGCCAGAUCAGGGGACAUUUCUGGGCAGGGGAGAACCACAGGUGUUGAGGAACAGAACUGAGUUUGAUUUCUUGCUCUGAGACCCGGGAAAAGCCACUUCUCCUCAGGUGGCAAACGCAUAUCGGAGGCUUCCACGCGGUGCCCAGGACUCACCUGCUCCCAGAAGACAAAGGGCCACGCAGCAGAGAAGCCUGGAGCCCAUGGCAACACUGGGAAGCCAAGAUAUCAUCCAGCUCAGGGGUGGGGGCCCCGGGGGUGAGCAGCCUAAAGCUUUGAACCUCCCAUUUCCCUGAAAGGAGUAUUUGCCUAUGACGUCACCACUCCCACAUCGCCACUCUCGUGACUCUGCAGGGCUGUGCCGAGCCCUGUGGCUCCGAGAAGUUCAUGUGCAGAUCAGAGAGACGGUCACCCAAAUGUCGCACUGAGAGCUAAUCUGGCAAGGGUCGUUUUGCUCGCUGUAACUCAUCCUAAUAUGCAAAGGAGAGCUGGGACCUGACCCAGGGCCGGUGGGUAACAAGAUCCACUGGGGCGCCCAGAGAGAGGGGAACAUCUCAGAGUCACUUGCUGUCCACUUGCUUUGAUCAGAUGUCUUGAAGUUUGGGUGGCUCCAGCCUCCACUGGGCCUGUGAGGGAAGGACACAGGGGCUGGGGAACAAACACGAGAGGGAGCCCGAUGGUGCCAUGCACUUAGGUGCUGUCACGCUUAGAGGAGAGAUGUCCUACCUGAACAAGGACACACUUGCUCCCAGGAGACAAAGGUCCACGUGGAGGCUGCAGCCCACAGCAUGCAGCGGGGAGGGCAGGUUUCUCCCCGCUCAGAGUUCUGGGUCUCCAAGAGCUGAAGAUCUGGGCAUCCCUUCUCUGACUGGAGGUUAGGCAGUAAUGUCACUGCUCCGAUGUCAUUAUCCCUCCUGGUUCUCAUGAGCCUCCCUUGCCAGGCCCCCGGCUAUGCCAGUCCAGGAACUCUGCUUUGUUCCGCAAAGCCCCUCACAUGAAGGGCAGGGCUGGGACGGUCUGGGCUAGCUGGGGUUAAGCCACAGGCGUGUCCACAGCUCCUCACCUUUUCCUUUCAGGCGGGGGUUCCUCUACCUGUUCCUGCUAGGGCAAGGAGUCUGCCCCCUCCCAGCACCACACUGCACUUUUUUCCCCUUGCAAGCUCAGAGAGACUCCCUAAUGACUGCCGAGCUGAAGGUUUGGCCCCCUGACGGGACUGCACAACCUCAAAUUAGUGUUGAUAGCAUUAAGCCUUGUAGUGGAAAAGAGCUCCAAGCAAGGCUUUCCUUAACCCUCCUGGUCCCAGAUAGCUGGCUCUAUGCCCCUGCUCUGCCCAGGCGACUUUUGGCAUUCAGCGGUUCCACAGUGCCCCCAUGUGGCCUACUGGGCAGUAAUCAAGAGAUCGCCUCCACCGUGAUGUGAGUCCUGGGGUAUGUUUAAAUUAGAAGCUAUUCUGGGGCACUUGGGUGGCUCAGUUGGUUAAGCAGCCGACCUGGGCUCAGGUCAUGAUCUCACGGUUUGUGAGUUCAGGCCCCGUGUUGGGCGCUGGGCUGACAGCUCAGAGCCUGGAGCCUGCUUCGGUUUCUGUGUCUUUCUCUCUCUGCCCCUCCCCUGCUCAUGCUCUGUCUCUGCCUCUUAACAAGAGGUAAAGGUUAAUAAAUUAGAAGCUAUUCCAUCCUUUGUCUAUUGCACUAUUUUUGUUUUCUGCCCCCACCCCCAGCAGACCAAAAAAAAAAAAAAAAAAAGAAAAAAGCCAGCCCUAACUACAUUGUAAUAAAAAUAAAGGUGGCAGGAGGAAAUGUUUUGGUUUUGAGAAAAUUCCCAGUAAACCUAGCCUAAGUUAGAUGGCGCUGCUUAAGGAGGAAGCGUGGCCGAGAUCACCCAGAGACAGCCUGUGUCUGAUUGCGGAUGGAACGCCAAGGAGUUUGGGAUGACGAAUAAUUAACUGACGUUGUUUUUGCUCUGCUGACCCCAGACAGUCGCUCGAGGCAGACAAUUCAGACAGGUCUCUUUGCAAGGUGUCUGCCGAUCAGCUUUCCCCAAAAUAAAGGAAACAAUACUCACUA